AAUCAGUGUGAGUACCGGAACAUUGUUGAAUCCAGGCUAGUACCGGCAAAAGGUGGAAUCCGUGCGAGUACCGAAAAACUGUCCGGACCAGUUCGUAAAAAUGGUAGAAUCAGUGUGAGUACCAAAAAAUUGUUGAAUCCGGGUGAGUACCGGGAAAAGGUGGAAUCCGUGCGAGUACCGAAAAACUGUCCGGACCAGUACGGAAAAAU
rnacentral:lncRNA from 1 species